rnacentral:rRNA from 1 species
GACGGAGGGUGCUAGCGUUGUUCGGAAUGACUGGGCGUAAAGGGCGCGUAGGCGGCUCGUGAAGUCGGGUGUGAAAGCCCGGGGCGUCAACCCCGGAACGGCAUCCGAUACUGGCGGGCUUGAGACCGGGAGAGGAGGGUGGAAUACCCAGUGUAGAGGUGAAAUUCGUAGAUAUUGGGUGGAACACCGGUGGCGAAAGCGGCUCUCUGGCCCGGAUCUGACGCUGAGGCGCGAAAGCGUGGGGAGCAAACAGGG